GAUGAACGCUGGCGGUGUGCCUAAUACAUGCAAGUCGAGCGAACAGACGAGGAGCUUGCUCCUCUGACGUUAGCGGCGGACGGGUGAGUAACACGUGGAUAACCUACCUAUAAGACUGGGAUAACUUCGGGAAACCGGAGCUAAUACCGGAUAAUAUAUUGAACCGCAUGGUUCAAUAGUGAAAGACGGUUUUGCUGUCACUUAUAGAUGGAUCCGCGCCGCAUUAGCUAGUUGGUAAGGUAACGGCUUACCAAGGCAACGAUGCGUAACCGACCUGAGAGGGUGAUCGGCCACACUGGAACUGAGACACGGUCCAGACUCCUACGGGAGGCAGCAGUAGGGAAUCUUCCGCAAUGGGCGAAAGCCUGACGGAGCAACGCCGCGUGAGUGAUGAAGGUCUUCGGAUCGUAAAACUCUGUUAUUAGGGAAAAACAAAUGUGUAAGUAACUAUGCACGUCUUGACGGUACCUAAUCAGAAAGCCACGGCUAACUACGUG
rnacentral:rRNA from 1 species